ensembl:lncRNA
GGGAGACAGAGGACAUCUCAGUCUGAUCACUGGAGGUUCUCUUGCUACAGAGAUGGUCUAUAGAAGCCUUUUAGUAGCUGACAUUCCUAACCUCAACUGAGAGGGUCUCAGUCCCUCUGAUGGCCCUGUUGGUGUCUCUCUGUGUGUCUCCUGUUCUUCGCUGUCUGGGACAAAGGGAGGUUGUUGUGGAAAUUGAGGGGGGUGAGGUUAGUAGUCUUUUGGCAGCAUGACCCUGCGACCCCCCAUGAAAUAACACAAGGUGAUCUUCCUUCUGAAAGGAAUGUUGUCCAGGGCCUCCACUGCCACCCUCUUGUUGCCCCUGACGCUGCUCUCCUCCUGGUCGUACAUGGGACACAUGUAGGCUGUUCGCCUCAGGGCGUAGAUGUCCACCUCGUCCUCGUCGUCCCACGGCUGGCGUUGGCACUGACCAGGGACACGUUGCCCUGGCCCAGGGAGGGCAGCAGUUUGGGCCGGGGGGCCACCGGGGGUUUGGGGACCUUUGGAGUAGGAGCAUCCCUCUGGGCUCUCCUGGCCAGCAGGGGUCCUGUCUGGACGAAGGCCUCAGGCCUGAUGAUGUCCCUGGGUGGGCUGCUGCUCCCUCUGGCAGCCUCCUCUGGCUGGGCAGCUUUCGGCAUGGAGAGAACAAACACAUUGUUGCUGAAGCUGCAUGACUCUGAAAGGGCCGGCUCCUCCAGGGUCAGAGGGCAGGUAGGACGGGACUCAGGCUGGACUACAUCCACAGUGCUGGUAGUGAUGCUCACAGGACUGGUAGGUUGGGACUCGAGCAUAAUGGAACACACAGGAUUACUGGGCUUAACUUUUCUCCUAGUGGUGCUCCGAGGGUUGCUAGGCCUUCCCUCAGGUCUGGAAGGCUGAACAUCAGGCUGGACCAGGCUGACUGGUCUAACAGGCCAUGUCUAGUGGGGCCCAGAGGGUUGCUAGGCCUCCCCUCAGGUCUGGAUGGCUGUACAUCAGGUUGGACUAGGCCCACUGGUCUAACAGGCCGUCUAGUGGGGCCCAGAGGGUUGCUAGGCCUCCCCUCAGGUCUGGAAGGCUGUACAUCAGGCUGGACCAGGCCCACUGGUCUAACAGGCCGUCUGGGUUGCCGAGGGUUGCUAGGCCUCCCCUCAGGUCUGGAAGGCUGUACAUCAGGUUGGACCAGGCCUACGGGGCUAACAGGCCGUCUAGUGGGGCGUUGAGGGUUGCUAGGCCUCCCCUCAGGUCUAGUGAUGCUGACAGAGAUUCUAGGUAUCAUUGACUCAGGCUGGUACAGGCUCUCUGGGCUGCUGGGCCGGGAAUCAGGCAGAAGCUUGUAGUUCUUCAGAACCUCAGUGAAGGAAAGCUCCUUGUUGCGCCUGCGUCUGUUGGUUUUGGCAGGUAGCUGGGAGCUGCUGCUGUUAAACCAACCGGGAGACUCACGACAUCCAUCCUGGACAGGAACCAGGGACUGGAGGUCUCUCCUCUUUCUGUGGGCAGCUGUGGGCCUCUUGGGCCUGACGUCGUCAGGAGGGGGAGCAUGAGGUACAACAUGCAGGGAGGGGAACGCUGAGGGCCUGAAAGAGGAGGCCAUCACUGGGGCCUGGCUGACCUCUUCUCUCUCCAGCAGCACUCUGUUAGAAGGACAGAGUAGCGGAACACCGAUGGACCUUGGUCCUCCAGACCCAUUCAG